CCACAGUGAAGGCACUUAGCACCUUUGGGUGAACACUUGGCAGGAACGUACAACAGGGAGAGCAAAGUCUACACUUUGUGGCUGACCUCUCCCAGCAUUCACCCCAAACAGGCGCCCCCAUCUCCUCUACCAGGAACUAAAGGGCCAGCCAUGCACUGAAAGCCUCCUGAAGCGGGAUCUGGGACCAAACAAGUGGAGACCUCGACCCCCAGCCCCUUCUCCUCUGAUGAGGGGUAGUGAGCCACAUCACGAAUUGGCACAGAUAUUGGAUUCAAGACUUAAGCGUGGACACCUUUAUUACUUAAUCAGGUGGAAAGACUUUGACCCCUUAACUUGUACGUGCAUUUCACAAAAUGUAUCCAAGUAAACCUGAACCUUUUCCCUGAUGGUCGCAGCAGAUAUAAUGGACCACCUGUGCACCCUGACCCCC